rnacentral:lncRNA from 1 species
AUUUCAUUUUGAUUUGGCCUCCCGCUGCGAACGGGACUGCUUUGUCUCGGCCGACAGAACCAGCAAGCCAGAAAGAUUUCGCCGGAGAAGAAAGUUACCAUCGGGACGCUGUACUUCUCCAGUUUCACGCUCGCUCUGGAUUUCCCUCCUGCCCCCCCUUCUCCCCCCAGCAGCACUAAAAGCAAAAGGAUGGUGUGAGGGAAACACAAAGAAGGUCCCUUGCAGAGAAACACAUCCUGACAUCAAGCAUUUUCAUCACGGCUGACAGAGAAAUGGCAUGUUCAAUUUGCACUUUAUUUACAAACGCUAAACAUCUACGCACACAUGCCUACCCACCUUUCAUAUCCCUGUAUCUGAAACCCAAGCGAGGAAAACAGCCCAUGCGCGUGAAGCAAGCGAGGGAAUGUGCCGCUGCCUCAUCCAGCACGUUUACAAAUGGACCAACCACAAAUACACCACAGGGAAAUGUGCUUCUCUGUGUGCCAAAAUGCCAGGAUGUUAAUUCACAGAAAGUCGUCUUAUGUAAAUUGGGAUCACUGGAAGUUAGAAGAACAUGGCCUGCCACCAGAUAUUCUGAGAGAUGGCAAGGCCUGCUGAGAAUCAAGGUCUUCUGGACAUGGCACAGCCUUUGUGCUCCUGAACUCAUAGCAGCCGUGGUUAUCUGCAUGAGACACACAUAUCUCUGUUCAGCGUGUUGGUGUAACUGAGAUAAAUGCCAAGCUGGCUCCCUGCUGUGCGUGGUCCGACACCCCUUGGCCAUAGAGAUUCCAGCUAUUUAAGUUUGGAAAUGACAUUUCUUCACACGUCUUCCAAGAUAGCAAUGUAUGUCAAUCACCGGGAGCUCUGCCAAUGACAAUGCCAAUGGAUUUGAAUUUCCCAUUCAUGCUAGGGUGAAGGGGCUAUCUCUUUGACUUCUCCGACUGGGGCCUUUCAUCUCACCCAGGAAAGUUUAUUUCCCAAGGAAUUUUCUUUGUGGUCUCAAACUUGAAUGACCUUCCUUUUAUAACCUCUGAUAUCACCCAGGGUUUUAUUGCCAGGAAGUACCUCUUAGUUGACAUGCUUAAUACUGGGUUCCUGUGAUCUAUUCUAGGGAACCCCGAAACUUAGAGAGAAAACUGAGGAAAAUGAUCUGGUUUCCAGGUUUGGGAAUACCACUGAACCACUGACCCUUAAGGAUACAUGGAAAAAUAACCUGUAACAUUCAAAUUCUACAAAAUACAUUGUGUUCAUACAACCG